rnacentral:rRNA from 1 species
CAGUCGCCACGGUAAUACGUAGGUGGCAAGCGUUGUCCGGAAUUAUUGGGCGUAAAGGGCUCGCAGGCGGUUUCUUAAGACUGAUGUGAAAGCCCCCGGCUCAACCGGGGAGGGUCAUUGGAAACUGGGAAACUUGAGUGCAGAAGAGGAGAGUGGAAUUCCACGUGUAGCGGUGAAAUGCGUAGAGAUGUGGAGGAACACCAGUGGCGAAGGCGACUCUCUGGUCUGUAACUGACGCUGAGGAGCGAAAGCGUGGGGAGCGAACAGGAUUAGAUACCCCGGUAGUCCCUGUCUCUUAUAC